rnacentral:rRNA from 1 species
CAGUAGCCACGGGAAUACGAAGGGUGCAAGCGUUAUCCGGAAUUAUUGGGCGUAAAGAGCUCGUAGGCGGUUUGUCGCGUCUGCCGUGAAAGUCCGGGGCUCAACCCCGGAUCUGCGGUGGGUACGGGCAGACUAGAGUGAUGUAGGGGAGACUGGAAUUCCUGGUGUAGCGGUGAAAUGCGCAGAUAUCAGGAGGAACACCGAUGGCGAAGGCAGGUCUCUGGGCAUUAACUGACGCUGAGGAGCGAAAGCAUGGGGAGCGAACAGGAUUAGAUACCCCGGUAGUCCCUGUCUCUUAUAC